rnacentral:rRNA from 1 species
AUUGAACGCUGGCGGCAUGCCUUACACAUGCAAGUCGAACGGCAGCGCGGGGCAACCUGGCGGCGAGUGGCGAACGGGUGAGUAAUAUAUCGGAACGUGCCCUGGAGUGGGGGAUAACGUAGCGAAAGUUACGCUAAUACCGCAUACGAUCCAAGGAUGAAAGCAGGGGACCUUCGGGCCUUGUGCUCCUGGAGCGGCCGAUAUCUGAUUAGCUAGUUGGUGGGGUAAAAGCCUACCAAGGCGACGAUCAGUAGCUGGUCUGAGAGGACGACCAGCCACACUGGAACUGAGACACGGUCCAGACUCCUAUGGGAGGCAGCAGUGGGGAAUUUUGGACAAUGGGGGGCAACCCUGAUCCAGCAAUGCCGCGUGUGUGAAGAAGGCCUGGUGUAAGCACUUGUCUAGGAACGAAACGG